CUACAGGUAAAGCCACAGCUGCAGCUAAAGUUGCAGGUACAGUUGCAGCUAAAGUUGCAGGUACAGCUGCAACUGGAAGUGCAGUCAUCGUUGUAGCUGUUGUUGUACUCGGUUUGGCAGUGGUCGCUGCAGGAACAUAUGUAGCAGUGAAAAGGGGCUUAGGGACGAAAUUUUGUGUGAAGGUGAAAGGAGUUUUUGACUUCACAUAUGAAACUGGGGGAAAACAAAUGGCCUGACACUGCUCUGCAAGCAGUAGCCCUUGCCUUGCUGCCCAAAGGACGAACUGAUAAUUACUGCUAAUGAAGAUAACCACCUUUCCUGCCUUGCAAGUGUGUCUUCCCAGUGCAGGAAAUGGAAAUCCGCCUCUGACACUCAGCUGCUCAAUGAAAAGAUUUGCACUGUUU